rnacentral:lncRNA from 1 species
UAUUAAAACCAUAAAUUAUCUUAAUAGCCACAUUCUACAUAAAUACUUCGGUCUGCCAGAAAAACUAGGCGAGACCCGAAGCUCAGAAAAAUUUACAACUGAUACAUUUACUAUUACUACUGCGGAGAAUCUAAGAUUUACCAUUUUACAUACCAAAUCAAAUACUUCACCCGAUGAUGAAGGAGUCGGGUUACUGAAUAAGAGUCGCGGGAGAACUAACAGUCACGAAUCUGAAAAAAAACAUAAAUGGAGACUGUCAGUCUCGAGAGUGAGUUAAAAUCAUAUAUCUAAAACAGUUUCAAAUAUCUCAAUGUCACAUUCAUUUAAUUUUAAAAUAAUUAAUAAAUCACGCGAACCAUACGUGUCAUGUUAAAACAUAUGUGUCAUGCCAUGCUUAAACAAAAUUUAUUCCACAUGCAACGGGACAGAGUACUUCAGUAGAACUCUAAUCCCAACUCUAAAAUCUCGAUUAUUUCAACACUUAUGUCUCAACUAACCUCAACUCUAACAUCUCAAACCUCUCAUUCCAACAAGACUGGCGCCCAGAGAGCAAAGCUCGACCAGGGACCUUACAUCCAGUCCGGUCACUUAACUCUCAGCCUUAGCCUUUUGGCUCUCUUAUCCAAUAAGACUGGCGCCCCGAGAGCAAAGCUUCGACCAGGGACCUUACCUCCAGUCUGGUCACUUAAAUAUCCAAAUAAGAAAUCUAGUAGCCAUUCGGCUCUCUUAAUCCAAUAAGACUGGCGCCCCGAGAGCAAAGCUCGACCAGGGACCUUACCUCCAGUCUGGUCACUUAAAUAUCCAAAUAAGCCGGCGCCCCGAGAGCAAUGCUCGACCAGGGACCUUUACUCCGGCAACCACACUCUACUAAGCCCAGAGAGCGAUGCUCGACCAGGGCAGGUCCUAAUCUUUCUUUCUUAAAAUUUUUACCUCUUUACCCUUUUCUUAUCUCUCUCAUAUUAUAUUGGACACUCAUCCAACUCCUAUGUUCUACUGCCGUCCCAUCCUGAGUCAUCAUGCAAUAUUAAAAUUGGUAAUAAAGGAAAAACAUAUUUAAAUAGUAAUUAAAAGCAUCAUGCAAAUGAUAAUAAUAAUAAUUGAAUGAAAAAUUGAAAUUGCAAAUAAAUAUUCACAGUAGCAAAUCAAAUUUUAUGCAUGACACGUGCGUAAACGAUAUAUGACUUUAACUCACAGAAUUAGGCGACCUCCU